AGAGGGUGAGAAGCGCUGGGCCGGACCAGAACUGUCUUAGCUUUUCCCUCUGCGGCUGCUCUGGUUGGUUACUUUGAGCCUGCCUCCUCAGCGCCGCAGGAGAGACUUAACAGCAAAAAUGACUGUGUCCUGAGUUCAGCCCCCACUGCUCUGGGAGCUUCCCCCUGGUUUCUGCACCUGAAGAAUGUCAUCCCAGCCGAAGGUUCUUAGGAGCGGGGAGCGACAAAGAAAAACAAAGAAAAGCAGACCUGAAAAUUGGGACCUGGGAGAAAUGUAAGACAUGUGCUUAAUUUGAGGCACAGACCAAAAGAAGCUGAGUCUGAGGGCCCUCUAAAAGUGUCCUCGUGCUUGGGCAGCUUACAUUCUUGGCGGCAGUAGUGUUAUGAAGAGGACCUUCGGAGCCAGGUCUGUCCAUUCUUAGGGCUCCAGCCACUGGCUGAGGCAUCAAGACGAGUGCUCUAAACCAGUAUCAUGGCUCCAGUUCCUCUGACAAGGAUUCACAUGGGAUCCCGAACCACUCAAAAGGACAAAACAAGGAAAUAGCAAUGAAAUUGGAUUCAGUGAAUGGGGUAAGGGUAUUAAGUGUCUGAAAUAUAAGAGAUAAAAAAAUUAGUUUUUACCUUUUUUUCUAUUUUCUAAAUGUUUUGGUGGCUAGAAUAAGAUAUACUUUGAACUCAAGAGCAAUAAAUGUUAAUAUAUUAAAAGUAGCUUUAUGAAAUAUGGAAAGUAUCUUUAUUUC
rnacentral:lncRNA from 1 species